rnacentral:rRNA from 1 species
CUACGGGAGGCAGCAGUGAGGAAUAUUUGUCAAUGGACGAGAGUCUGAACCAGCCAAGUAGCGUGAAGGAUGACUGCCCUAUGGGUUGUAAACUUCUUUUAUACAGGAAUAAAACGAGGCACGUGUUCCUUUUUGCAUGUACUUUAUGAAUAAGAAUCGGCUAACUCCGUUCCAGCAGCCGCGGUAAUACGGAGGAGCCGAGCGUUACCCGGAUUUUUUUGGUUUAAAGGUUGCGUAGAUGGGUUGUUAAGUCAGUUGUGAAAGUUUGCGGCUCAACCGUAAAAUUGCAAUUGAUACUGGCAGUCUUGAGUACAGUUGAGGUAGGCGGAAUUCGUGGUGUAGCGGUGAAAUGCUUAGAUAUCACGAAGAACCCCGAUUGCGAAGGCAGCUUACUAAACUGUGACUGACAUUGAUGCUCGAAAGUGUGGGUAUCAAACAGGAUUAGAUACCCGGGUAGUC